GACGAACGCUGGCGGCGUGCUUAACACAUGCAAGUCGAACGGAAAGUCCCUGCUUUUGUGGGGUGCUCGAGUGGCGAACGGGUGAGUAACACGUGAGUAACCUGCCCUUGACUUUGGGAUAACUUCAGGAAACUGGGGCUAAUACCGGAUAGGAGCUCCUGCUGCAUGGUGGGGGUUGGAAAGUUUCGGCGGUUGGGGAUGGACUCGCGGCUUAUCAGCUUGUUGGUGGGGUAGUGGCUUACCAAGGCUUUGACGGGUAGCCGGCCUGAGAGGGUGACCGGCCACAUUGGGACUGAGAUACGGCCCAGACUCCUACGGGAGGCAGCAGUGGGGAAUAUUGCACAAUGGGCGGAAGCCUGAUGCAGCAACGCCGCGUGCGGGAUGACGGCAUUCGGGUUGUAAACCGAUUUCGCCUGUGACGAAGCGUGAGUGACGGUAAUGGGUAAAGAAGCACCGGCUAACUACGUG
rnacentral:rRNA from 1 species